rnacentral:rRNA from 1 species
UGGGGAAUAUUGGACAAUGGGGGCAACCCUGAUCCAGCAAUGCCGCGUGUGUGAAGAAGGUCUUCGGAUUGUAAAGCACUUUCGACGGGGACGAUGAUGACGGUACCCGUAGAAGAAGCCCCGGCUAACUUCGUGCCAGCAGCCGCGGUAAUACGAAGGGGGCUAGCGUCGCUCGGAAUGACUGGGCGUAAAGGGCGUGUAGGCGGUUUACACAGUCAGAUGUGAAAUCCCCGGGCUUAACCUGGGAGCUGCAUUUGAUACGUGUAGACUAGAGUGUGAGAGAGGGUUGUGGAAUUCCCAGUGUAGAGGUGAAAUUCGUAGAUAUUGGGAAGAACACCGGUGGCGAAGGCGGCAACCUGGCUCAUUACUGACGCUGAGGCGCGAAAGCGUGGGGAGCAAACNGGAUUAGAUACCCUGGUAGUCCACGCUGUAAACGAUGUGUGCUAGAUGUUGGGUAACUUUGUUAUUCAGUGUCGCAGUUAACGCGUUAAGCACACCGCCUGGGGAAGUACGGCCGCAA